GAUGAAGAACGUAGCGAAAUGCGAUAAGUAGUGUGAAUUGCAGAAUUCAGUGAAUCAUCGAAUCUUUGAACGCACAUUGCGCCUUCUAGUAUUCUGGGAGGCAUGCCUGUUUGAGCGUCAUUAAACCUCUCUCAAGUAUGAUUACUUGGAUGUGAAGGAAGAGUACCUUAAACUUAAGGAGUGUUCUCCUUUGAAAUUGAUUAGCAGAUGGUAAUGUUAUUAAAUCCCUGAUGCUGUAAGAAAUAACAGUGGUUUUGUAGACUAUUAUCUAGCUUUAAAUUAUAAUUUUUAUUAUGGUUGACCUCAAAUCAGGUAAGGAUACCCGCUGAACUUAAGCAUAUCAAUAAGCGGAGGA
rnacentral:misc_RNA from 1 species